rnacentral:rRNA from 1 species
GUGCCAGCCGCCGCGGUAAAACCAGCACCUCAAGUGGUCAGGAUGAUUAUUGGGCCUAAAGCAUCCGUAGCCGGCGCUAUAAGUUUUCGGUUAAAUCUGUACGCUCAACGUACAGGCUGCCGGGAAUACUGUAGCGCUAGGGAGUGGGAGAGGUAGACGGUACUCGGUAGGAAGGGGUAAAAUCCUUUGAUCUAUUGAUGACCACCUGUGGCGAAGGCGGUCUACCAGAACACGUCCGACGGUGAGGGAUGAAAGCUGGGGGAGCAAACCGGAUUAGAUACCCGGGUAGUCCCAGCUGUAAACUAUGCAAACUCAGUGAUGCAUUGGCUUGUGGCCAAUGCAGUGCUGCAGGGAAGCCGUUAAGUUUGCCGCCUGGGAAGUACGUACGCAAGUAUGAAACUUAAAUGAAUUGACGGGG